rnacentral:rRNA from 1 species
UACGGAGGGGGCUAGCGUUGUUCGGAAUUACUGGGCGUAAAGCGCACGUAGGCGGCUUUGUAAGUUAGAGGUGAAAGCCCGGGCUCAACUCCGGAAUUGCCUUUAAGACUGCAUCGCUAGAAUUGUGGAGAGGUAAGUGGAAUUCCGAGUGUAGAGGUGAAAUUCGUAGAUAUUCGGAAGAACACCAGUGGCGAAGGCGACUUACUGGACACAUAUUGACGCUGAGGUGCGAAAGCGUGGGGAGCAAACAGG